CCAGGGAGGGCGGCCCUCACCUUCUUGAGCCUGCGCUCUCGGGACGCCUGCGAGUCGGUCUCCGAGUACGGGGGCGGCGCGGGCGGGUAGUAGCCAGUAGCCGCCCAUCAUAGGGGAGGUCCCCGGACCUGGAGCCGUUGUCCCGAGGGUCCCGGGUACGGUGGUGGUGGGACCUGGGGUCGGCAGGAGGGCGCUCCCGAGACCUGAAGUCGUCGUAGUGGGGGUCCCGGGAGCGUGGGAAGUCCCUCGAGUCGUCUUGGUCAUAGAGGUCGUCCCGGCUGCGGCUCCGCGGGGGCAUGUAGGCCCGGCUUCUCCCACCAUUACUCGUGGGAGACCUGCUCCCUGACUCGGCGGUGCUCGGCGGGGUGAGGUCGUCCAGGGCGUCCACGGAGCGGGCCCGGGGCCGCCUGGCCCGCCAGCCCCCGCCUGCCUGCUCCCUGGCGGGCUCCUGGUCCCAUCCCCUGGGACUCCGGGGGGAGUGGCCACCCCACUCCUCAUCCCGGAUCGGGGUGAGGGCAGGGCCCCGGGAAGGCCGAGAUCGCCAGUCGUCCUCGUGGAGGGAGGUGACUUCACUCAUGGCUGCAGGGAAGGGGGGUGUCACUGACUGCUGGAGGAGCCCGGGGUCCAGGGUUUGCACCAAGAGUCCCUGCGGCAGGUAUCAGGGAGACAUGUUUCACCCCCCCACCUUAAAAGCCCUCAGACCCCAAGGCUCCUGCUUACCCCGCUCCACACGGCCACUGGGGGGGCCAGGUCGAGAAGGGUCGAAGUUGGCCAGCUCCUUCUCCAUGUAGUACAGGACCCGCAUGGAGUCGUCCUGCUGGCUGGCCUGAAUCCUGUAGCCACUGCGGACUUCUAGGGACAGGGGGGUGGUGGUCGGUUUGGGAGGAUGGAUCCUGGCCCACCCCUCUCCCUUACAGGCACAUCCAACUUCGGGACGAUGGAUUCUCACCAGAGGCCACACUGCUGUCCGUGUCCCGAAGCAGGGGUACAUAGGAGCCUUGGCCACCAGCUGGGGGAGAGUGGCUGUCAGUGGCCGCGCACCAGGAGCAGAGCCCCUCCUCGGCUCCCAAGACACUCUUCCUUCCAGCCCCUGCCCCUCAGUGUCCAGAUGCCCAGCACACUCCCACCAGCUGUUCCUGCUUCCCCCGGCCUCACCUGAGCUACUCCUGUCAACGUCUCCAGAGCUAACUUACUGGAAGAAGUGGCCACCCAUGGUCUGUGUGUUUACAGGGCAACAAAGCUGCCCUUUAUAUAAAGCCCAGAUGCUGGGUCCACCACUGUCCCCACAAGCCGAAAUCAAGUAUCCUCUUUGGCAGCCAAGCCCCUGUUCUAGAAAAAAUGAGUCAUCUGGGAGACGUGGGUCCUGCCCACCUGGUCACCUUCCAGAUUGAGAUGCAGUGGCAGGAGCCUCGGGAAUUAACUUGCCUGCCCCGGCCAAGCAGCAAAGUGUCUCCUCUAGUGUUUCUAACUCAUGGACUGCACCCAUUUCUGCCUGCCCCACCAGGCUCUAGGCUUGACAGUUCAAGGUAAGAUCCUCCUCCCUUCCUUCCUCCCUAGGGCAAGAGGCUUGCAAAAUUCCUGGGCCCUAGGCAAGUGGCUUCCUCCCUGGGACCCCAACAGGAAAAUGGAGGAGAGAGAUGGGCCCAGAGAGGGUGCCUCACCUCUGAUUUGGUUUGGAAGCAGAAGACUAAGUGCACAGCCUAGAGGAAGCCCCUUCAUUAGCUCAGGCAGCCUGCAACUUUAUCAUCAGCAGUGGGACCUGCUGCCUCCUGAAGGGUGGGCGGAGGCUGUGGCAGCAGCAGAUGUAACAGGGCCUCUGCCAGGGAGUUAAUGGGGCCCUGGGUUGGGGUAACAGGGUCUCCGGAUGGAGGAAAUGUGGUGUGGGGACAGGGGAAUGUGGCAUUGGGACCAGCAUUUAGUCCUGGCCCUAGCUCUGGUCUUAGUGGGUUCACUGCAAACUUGGUUGCAGCCCAUCUGUGAAAUGGACCUAACACUUACUCACUGAGCAAAAAGCUGUCAGCUGAACACAACAAGAGGGAGGGGAUGGGAUGGCCUGCAUAAGCCUC
rnacentral:lncRNA from 1 species